rnacentral:rRNA from 1 species
GACGAACGCUGGCGGCGUGCUUAACACAUGCAAGUCGAACGGAAAGGCCCUGCUUUUGUGGGGUGCUCGAGUGGCGAACGGGUGAGUAACACGUGAGUAACCUGCCCUUUACUUUGGGAUAACUUCAGGAAACUGGGGCUAAUACCGGAUAGGAGCUCCUGCUGCAUGGUGGGGGUUGGAAAGUUUCGGCGGUUGGGGAUGGACUCGCGGCUUAUCAGCUUGUUGGUGGGGUAGUGGCUUACCAAGGCUUUGACGGGUAGCCGGCCUGAGAGGGUGACCGGCCACAUUGGGACUGAGAUACGGCGCAGACUCCUACGGGAGGCAGCAGUGGGGAAUAUUGCACAAUGGGCGGAAGCCUGAUGCAGCAACGCCGCGUGCGGGAUGACGGCCUUCGGGUUGUAAACCGCUUUCGCCUGUGACGAAGCGUGAGUGACGGUAAUGGGUAAAGAAGCACCGGCUAACUACGUG